UGCCAGCCGCCGCGGUAAUACGGAGGAUCCAAGCGUUAUCCGGAAUCAUUGGGUUUAAAGGGUCCGUAGGCGGUUUGAUAAGUCAGUGGUGAAAGCCCAUCGCUCAACGAUGGAACGGCCAUUGAUACUGUUAGACUUGAAUUAUUUGGAAGUAACUAGAAUAUGUAGUGUAGCGGUGAAAUGCUUAGAGAUUACAUGGAAUACCAAUUGCGAAGGCAGGUUACUACAAAUGGAUUGACGCUGAUGGACGAAAGCGUGGGUAGCGAACAGGAUUAGAUACCCUGGUAGUCCACGCCGUAAACGAUGGAUACUAGCUGUUGGGAGUAAUCUCAGUGGCUAAGCGAAAGUGAUAAGUAUCCCACCUGGGGAGUACGCACGCAAGUGUGAAACUUAAAUAAAUUGGCGG
rnacentral:rRNA from 1 species